rnacentral:rRNA from 1 species
GAUGAACGCUGGCGGCGUGCCUCAAACAUGCAAGUCGAGCGGGGCUAUGUAAUAUCGCAAGGUAGAACAUAGCCUAGCGGCGAACGGGUGAGUAACACGUGGGUAACCUGCCUGGAAGACAGGGAUAACGAUUCGAAAGGGUCGCUAAUACCUGAUAAUAUCCUUUCAUCGCAUGGUGAUAGGAAGAAAGGGGAAACCCGCUUUCAGAUGGGCCCGCGUCCCAUCAGCUAGUUGGUAAGGUAAAGGCUUACCAAGGCGACGACGGGUAGCCGGUCUGAGAGGAUGUACGGCCACACUGGGACUGAGAUACGGCCCAGACUCCUACGGGAGGCAGCAGUUGGGAAUCUUAGGCAAUGGACGAAAGUCUGACCUAGCGACGCCGCGUGAGGGAAGAAGGCCUUCGGGUUGUAAACCUCUGUCAUGGGGGAAGAAGUAAGUGACGGUACCCCAAGAGGAAGCCCCGGCUAACUACGUGCCAGCAGCCGCGGUAAAGUACUCUAU